AGACACUUGUCUCUGUAUUAAUUUAGAAAAUAGCAUUAGAGUAACUGUGUUAACAAAAAUGCUAUUUCUUUGAUGACACAGCUCAAGUAUAUCAUGGAAAACUCUUCUAUAACAUCUUAAUUUAGGGAUCUCUGCAACUUAAUAAGUAGCAAAUGAAGAUCAAGCACUUGUGAAGUGCCAGGCUUCAUGCUAAGUGUUGGGCAUUCAGUCAUGUGCAAAAUAGAAUCUUUCUGGCCUUAUGAUUCUUACAGUUUAGUGAGGAAAGGAGAUAACUAAACAAACACUUGUUAUGAGUGAAAUGUGUGUAAAAUGGAAACAUAAAAGUGUUGGUCCAAGAAUAUCACUAUGAGAAAGCAUCACUUAAGCUCUGAUUGAAGAAACAGGUGGGAUUGAGCAAUAAAGGUGAAAAGAAAGAUAAUAAUAAUAUGCAGAGGAAAGAAAGUAUAGGUGUUCUAGAAGAAAUACAAGAUAAAUGUGGACUGAAUCUUAGUUCAAAAGAAGAGGGUGUGAGAGGAGAUUGACAAACCAUCCAUCAGCUGCAGUGUGUGCUGAAAUCUGCCAUGCUUCAGGCCCUCAGUGAGGCUAUAGAAACACCAAGAAUGGGAUGUACAUGUGACCUUUGGCAAGGGUUUUGUUUUAGCCAAGCUAAUAAUCUAGUAGUAAAAAUAAAAGCAACCUAAUUAUUGAUUUAGGGCAAUCCAAUUGGAUUUGUGUGUAUAUGUGUGUGUGUGUGUGUGUGUGUGUGUG
rnacentral:lncRNA from 1 species